AGUGAACGCUGGCGGUAGGCCUAACACAUGCAAGUCGAACGGCAGCACAGUAAGAGCUUGCUCUUACGGGUGGCGAGUGGCGGACGGGUGAGGAAUACAUCGGAAUCUACUUUUUCGUGGGGGAUAACGUAGGGAAACUUACGCUAAUACCGCAUACGACCUACGGGUGAAAGCAGGGGAUCUUCGGACCUUGCGCGAUUGAAUGAGCCGAUGUCGGAUUAGCUAGUUGGCGGGGUAAAGGCCCACCAAGGCGACGAUCCGUAGCUGGUCUGAGAGGAUGAUCAGCCAAACGGGAACUGGGACACGGUCCAAACUCCUACGGGAGGCAGCAGUGGGGAAUAUUGGACAAGGGGGGAAAGCCUGAUCAAGCCAUACCGCGUGGGUGAAGAAGGCCUUCGGGUUGUAAAGCCCUUUUGUUGGGAAAGAAAAGCAGCAGGUUAAUACCCCGCUGUUCUGACGGUACCCAAAGAAUAAGCACCGGCUAACUUCGU
rnacentral:rRNA from 1 species